GACGAACGCUGGCGGCGUGCCUAAUACAUGCAAGUCGAGCGAACAGAUGAGGAGCUUGCUCCUCUGACGUUAGCGGCGGACGUGUGAGUAACACGUGGAUAACCUACCUAUAAGACUGGGAUAACUUCGGGACACCGGAGCUAAUACCGGAUAAUAUAUUGAACCGCAUGGUUCAAUAGUGAAAGACGGUUUUGCUGUCACUUCUAGAUGGAUACGCGCCGCAUUAGCUAGUUGGUAAGGUAACGGCUUACCAAGGCGACGAUGCGUAGCCGACCUGAGAGGGUGAUCGGCCACACUGGAGCUGAGACACGGUCCAGACGCCUACGGGAGGCAGCAGUAGGGAAUCUUCCGCAAUGGGCGAAAGCCUGACGGAGCAACGCCGCGUGAGUGAUGAAGGUCUUCGGAUCGUAAAACUCUGUUAUUAGGGAAGAACAAAUGUGUAAGUAACUAUGCACGUCUUGACGGUACCUAAUCAGAAAGCCACGGCUAACUACGUG
rnacentral:rRNA from 1 species